UCAAGGCCAAUCAAAAGGCAGAGUUUGCUACCGAUUACGAUUACGAUGAAUACGUUUUUCUUACACAAUCGGGGUUGAUCAGAGCUCUCCUGUAAAAUCAA